rnacentral:misc_RNA from 1 species
UGGUGGAGGGUCGAGACAUACCUUAUUUGGGGCAGCUGGAAGUAGGAUGAGUUCUGUGGAAAGGUAUGAUGUUGGGAGGGAUGAGUGGGUGGCAAUGGACGGGUUGCCCAGGUAUAGAGCAGGUUGCGUGGGGUUUUUGGUAGGGAGUGGAGAGGAGAGGGAGUUUUGGGUGAUGGGAGGCUACGGAGAGUCCAGGACAAUUUCUAUGAUGUUUCCAAUGGAUGAAUAUUAUAAGGAUGCUGUGGUCAUGGAUGUGAAGAAGAAUGGGUGUGG